CCCGCCUUGGGGGCUGCGCCCGCGGAGUCCCCGGGGGACGCCGGCCGCUCCGGGCUCUCGGCGGCCCAGCGGAGGACGGGAGCGGCCGGGCAGGCCCUUCCCCCGCGCUCCGUUCUCGCUCGCGGUUCCGUGUGUCGCUUUCCAUAGGCCGCGGUGUCCGUGCCGGGGACGCCGAGGAACCUGUGGAGCCUUUGCCCUCCGAGCGGGGCUUUGUAGCGGCUGCUUCGGAGCAGCCGGGAAGCGAACAGUGCGUGCCCGUGCCCGUGCCCGGGACUUGACGCUAUUUUCGCUUCCAAAACGCCAGCAGUGGACUUGAGAAAGCUGGGAAGGCUCUUUUUCAGGCUGUUGGGAGGAGAACGGCCGAGCUGGUGGUGUACGGGCACUGCGUUUGGCACAGCUCUUCGGGAGGCAGCGCCUUCAUCUCCCCGGUCCUUCCCUGGGGUCACCCGUCUGGCAAGGCGGGUCAUCGCAGGGAGAGCAUCGGGCAGCUGGGAAAAAGGCAUUUGUGUCGCUAAAUUAUUAAAGUGCAAAUAAACUCCAAA